GCGCGGGUGGCGAAACGGCAGACGCACUACCUUGAGGUGGUAGCGGGCGCAAGCCCAUGGAGGUUCAACUCCUCUCCCGCGCACCA
rnacentral:tRNA from 1 species